rnacentral:rRNA from 1 species
GUGGGGGAUAACGCCGCGAAAGCGGCGCUAAUACCGCAUAUUCUCUCUGGAGGAAAGCGGGGGACCUGCAAGGGCCUCGCGCUCGCGGAGCGGCCGAUGUCCGAUUAGCUUGUUGGUGGGGUAAAGGCUUACCAAGGCGACGAUCGGUAGCUGGUCUGAGAGGAUGAUCAGCCACACUGGGACUGAGACACGGCCCAGACUCCUACGGGAGGCAGCAGUGGGGAAUUUUGGACAAUGGGGGCAACCCUGAUCCAGCCAUGCCGCGUGCGGGAAGAAGGCCUUCGGGUUGUAAACCGCUUUUGGCCGGGAAGAAAAGGUUCAGGCGAAUACCCUGGAUUUUUGACGGUACCGGCAGAAUAAGCACCGGCUAACUACGUGCCAGCAGCCGCGGUAAUACGUAGGGUGCGAGCGUUAAUCGGAAUUACUGGGCGUAAAGCGUGCGUAGGCGGUUCGUUGUGUCUGUGGUGAAAGCCCCGGGCUUAACCUGGGAAUGGCCAUGGAAACUGGCGAGCUGGAGUGUGGCAGAGGAGGGUGGAAUUCCG